GGGGCCGUGGCGCAGUUGGGAGCGCGCUUGCAUGGCAUGCAAGAGGUCAUGGGUUCGACCCCCAUCGGCUCCA
rnacentral:tRNA from 1 species